AUCCUGCCAGUAGUCAUAUGCUUGUCUCAAAGAUUAAGCCAUGCAUGGUGAAAGUAA
rnacentral:rRNA from 1 species